rnacentral:rRNA from 1 species
UACGUAGGGUCCGAGCGUUGUCCGGAAUUACUGGGCGUAAAGAGCUCGUAGGUGGUUUGUCGCGUUGUUCGUGAAAACUCACAGCUCAACUGUGGGCGUGCGGGCGAUACGGGCAGACUUGAGUACUGCAGGGGAGACUGGAAUUCCUGGUGUAGCGGUGGAAUGCGCAGAUAUCAGGAGGAACACCGGUGGCGAAGGCGGGUCUCUGGGCAGUAACUGACGCUGGAGACGCGAAAGCCGUGGGGAGCAAACAGG